GGCCUACCAAGGCGACGACGGGUAGCCGGCCUGAGAGGGCGACCGGCCACACUGGGACUGAGACACGGCCCAGACUCCUACGGGAGGCAGCAGUGGGGAAUAUUGCGCAAUGGGCGAAAGCCUGACGCAGCGACGCCGCGUGAGGGAUGAAGGCCUUCGGGUUGUAAACCUCUUUCAGCAGGGACGAAGCGAAAGUGACGGUACCUGCAGAAGAAGCACCGGCCAACUACGUGCCAGCAGCCGCGGUAAUACGUAGGGUGCAAGCGUUGUCCGGAAUUAUUGGGCGUAAAGAGCUCGUAGGCGGCUUGUCGCGUCGGCUGUGAAAACCCAGGGCUCAACCCUGGGCCUGCAGUCGAUACGGGCAGGCUAGAGUCCGGCAGGGGAGACUGGAAUUCCUGGUGUAGCGGUGAAAUGCGCAGAUAUCAGGAGGAACACCGGUGGCGAAGGCGGGUCUCUGGGCCGGAACUGACGCUGAGGAGCGAAAGCGUGGGGAGCGAACAGGAUUAGAUACCCUGGUAGUCCACGCCGUAAACGUUGGGCGCUAGGUGUGGGGAACCUUCCACGUUCUCCGUGCCGCAGCUAACGCAUUAAGCGCCCCGCCUGGGGAGUACGG
rnacentral:rRNA from 1 species